CCUACGGGUGGCAGCAGUGAGGAAUAUUGGUCAAUGGUCGCGAGCCUGAACCAGCCAAGCCGCGUGAGGGAUGAAGGCCCUGCGUGUUGUAAACUUCUUUUGUAAGGGAAUAAAGUGCGGCACGUGUCCCUUUUUGUGUGUAUUUUAUGAAUAAGGAUCGGCUAACUCCGUGCCAGCAGCCGCGGUAAUCCGGAGGAUCCGAGCGUUAUCCGGAUUUAUUGGGUUUAAAGGGAGCGUAGAUGGGUGGUUAAGUCAGUUGUGAAAGCUUGCGGCUCAACCGUGCAAUUGCAGUUGAUACUGGCAGGCUGGAGUGCAGGUGAGGUAGGCGGAAUUCGUGGUGUAGCGGUGAAAUGCGUAGAUAUCACGAAGAACUCCGAUUGCGAAGGCAGCAUACUAAACUGAAACUGACGUUGAUGCUCGAAAGCGUGGGUAUCAAACAGGAUUAGAUACCCGGGUAGUC
rnacentral:rRNA from 1 species